rnacentral:rRNA from 1 species
UACAGAGGUCUCGAGCGUUAGGCGGAAUCACUGGGCUUAAAGCGCGUGUAGGCGGCUUGUUAAGUCGCGUGUGAAAUCUCCCGGCUCAACCGGGAAAGUGCGCGCGAAACUGGCGAGCUUGAGUGCUGGAGAGGGUGGCGGAAUUCCCGGUGUAGAGGUGAAAUUCGUAGAUAUCGGGAGGAACACCAGAGGCGAAGGCGGCCACCUGGACAGACACUGACGCUGAGAAGCGAAAGCGUGGGGAGCAAACAGG